AAAGUCCUCCACAUACAUAUUGUAUCAGUGCCGUCUCGCCUUCAUUAUCCCGGACGGACCUCAGAGGACCGGACUUAUACACUAAUGUAAUCACUGAUGUAGAGUUAAACAUUAGACUAACACAAAGACCAUAGAGCCUCCAGUUUUCAUUAAUAUAUUUCAAUAUCUUGCAUUUAUCAUCAAUUGUGAUUUUUAGUUUUAAUAAAGAGUGCACAGAGACAUGGCUAUGGCUUCACACAUUUCACCUCCUCCAUACUCAGCACAUCUUCAUCAGCUGCAUGUAUUUAUUCUGUAGAUAAUUAAAGUGUGGACAUUAAGUCGGGGCAUCUCUGACACGAUCAUUAAGCCACCAGCGACGUGGUGUCAUUCUCUGAAUUUUCUUCAGUUCGUGAUCCUCCUGCUGCAGCAAAGUACCGAUAUGUCCAUUUUAUCUUUCACUUCAUUCACAAGUUCCUCUGUUUCUGGGUCAGAAAGUUUCGUUUCUUCGUCUAAACUUCCGUUUUCGCGAUCCAGCGCUGGAAACCUUUGAUCUGCCCCCUCGUUUGUAUGCAUUUUCAUUCACGAGCUGCUUUGCAUUGACCGUUUAUGGUUGAAUGUGGGCAUGUAGAGGGCGGAACAUGGGGCUAAUCUACGUGUGCACAUUUCCAGGUGGAUCAUGAUCUAUAAAGGGAACAUUGCGUGCAGGUGUGCGUACAAACGGUUUUAUGAAUCUGAAUCAUUUUGUGCGCACGCCAUUUCCGGGUUUUUGGCGCACGUACAUUUUUAUGUAUGAAUUUUACACACUCUUUUAUAAAUGAGACCCCUGGUCAUUUUUUAAAACCUCCUCAAACACCAGCUGUUCAGCAAAGCAUUCAGCCUCAUCUAACACUCCCCUCAGCUGAUCACCCACUCCCUUUCUCCUUCAUUUGUUUGUCUAGUGUUUUUAUCCUUUCUCUUCUCUGUUUGUGUUUUUCUAUUCCUCUCUUGUUGUCUCCCAUUACGCCCCCCCCCC